GAUGAACGCUGGCGGCGUGCUUAACACAUGCAAGUCGAACGAGAACGGACUUAAGCUUGCUUAAGUUGUCAGCUAAGUGGCGCACGGGUGAGUAACGCGUGAGAAUCUGGCUGUGGGUCGGGGACAACCACUGGAAACGGUGGCUAAUACCGGAUGAGCCGAAAGGUAAAAGAUUUAUUGCCCACAGAUGAGCUCGCGUCUGAUUAGCUAGUUGGUAAGGUAAAGCGUACCAAGGCGACGAUCAGUAGCUGGUCUGAGAGGAUGAGCAGCCACACUGGGACUGAGACACGGCCCAGACUCCUACGGGAGGCAGCAGUGGGGAAUUUCCGCAAUGGGCGAAAGCCUGACGGAGCAAGACCGCGUGGGGGAGGAA
rnacentral:rRNA from 1 species